UGGGGAAUAUUGCACAAUGGGCGCAAGCCUGAUGCAGCGACGCCGCGUGAGGGAUGAAGGCCUUCGGGUUGUAAACCUCUUUCGUCAGGGAACAAGGCACCGCUUUUGGUGGUGUUGAGGGUACCUGGAUAAGAAGCGCCGGCUAACUACGUGCCAGCAGCCGCGGUAAUACGUAGGGCGCAAGCGUUGUCCGGAAUUAUUGGGCGUAAAGAGCUCGUAGGCGGCUGGUCGCGUCUGUCGUGAAAACUUCCGGCUCAACCGGGGGCUUGCGGUGGGUACGGGCCGGCUAGAGUGCGGUAGGGGUAACUGGAACUCCUGGUGUAGCGGUGGAAUGCGCAGAUAUCAGGAAGAACACCGAUGGCGAAGGCAGGUUACUGGGCCGUUACUGACGCUGAGGAGCGAAAGCGUGGGGAGCGAACAGGAUUAGAUACCCUGGUAGUCCACGCUGUAAACGUUGGGCACUAGGUGUGAGGCUCCUUUCCGGGGGUUUUGCGCCGUAGCUAACGCAUUAAGUGCCCCGCCUGGGGAGUACGGCCGCAAGGCUA
rnacentral:rRNA from 1 species